GACGAACGCUGGCGGCGUGCUUAACACAUGCAAGUCGAACGGAAAGGCCCUGCUUGCAGGGUACUCGAGUGGCGAACGGGUGAGUAAAACGUGGGUGAUCUGCCCUGCACUUCGGGAUAAGCCUGGGGAACUGGGUCUAAUACCGGAUAGGAGCCAUCUUUAGUGUGGUGGUUGGAAAGAUUUUUCGGUGUAGGAUGAGCUCGAGGCCUAUCAGCUUGUUGGUGGGGUAAUGGCCUACCAAGGCGGCGACGGGUAGCCGGCCUGAGAGGGUGGACGGCCACAGUGGGGCUGAGAUACGGCCCAGACUCCUACGGGAGGCAGCAGGGGGGAAUAUUGCACAAUGGGCGCGAGCCUGAUGCAGCGACGCCGCGUGGGGGAUGAAGGGCUUCGGGUUGUAAACUCCUUUCGCUAGGGACGAAGCUUUGUGUGACGGUACCUAGAGAAGAAGCACCGGCUAACUACGUG
rnacentral:rRNA from 1 species